CCUGCCCUAGGCGCAUCGCAGGCGUGGCUGCUGUGUCACAUGUGCACCAAGAGGUAGCAGAGAGGAGAGAGGCUAUGUCCACACUCAGUGUUCUGACCUGUGAGCAUCUGAAUGAUCAGUAACCUGACACU